rnacentral:rRNA from 1 species
GACGAACGCUGGCGGCGUGCCUAAUACAUGCAAGUUGAGCGCCGAAGGUUGGUACUUGUACCAACUGGAUGAGCAGCGAACGGGUGAGUAACGCGUGGGGAAUCUGCCUUUGAGCGGGGGACAACAUUUGGAAACGAAUGCUAAUACCGCAUAAAAACUUUAAACACAAGUUUUAAGUUUGAAAGAUGCAAUUGCAUCACUCAAAGAUGAUCCCGCGUUGUAUUAGCUAGUUGGUGAGGUAAAGGCUCACCAAGGCGAUGAUACAUAGCCGACCUGAGAGGGUGGACGACCACAAUGGGACUGGGGAACGGCCCAAGCUCCUACGGGGGGCAGCAGUAGGGAAUCUUCGGCAAUGGACGAAAGUCUGACCGCGCAACGCCGCGUGAGUGAAGGAGGUUUUCGGAUCGUAAAACUCUGUUGGUAGGGAAGAACGUUGGUGAGAGUGGAAAGCUCAUCAAGUGACGGUAACUACCCAGAAAGGGACGGCUAACUACGUG